rnacentral:rRNA from 1 species
GACGAACGCUGGCGGCGUGCCUAAUACAUGCAAGUCGAGCGGACCAACCCGGCGCUUGCUCGUGUUUGGUUAGCGGCGGACGGGUGAGUAACACGUGGAUACCCUGCCUGACAGACGGGGAUAUCUACGGGAAACCGGCGCUUAUACCGUAUAACACCCAACACCGCGUGGUCUUUGGUUGAAAUUCGGCUUCUGCUGCCGGUUACGCAUGGUCCCGCGGCGGAUUAGGGAGAUGGUGAGGUAACGGCUCACCAAGGCGGCGGUGCGUAGCCGGCAGGCGGGGGUGAGUAGCCAGACUGGGACGGAGACAGGGCCCAGACGGCCACGGGAGGCAGCAGGAGGGAAUCUUGCGGAAGGGGCGGAAGACUGACGGAGCGAGGCGGAGGGAGGGAGGAGGGUCUUCGGAUCGGAAAGCUCGGUUGUUAGGGAAGAAGAAGCGUCGGCCGAAGAGGGAGGGGCGGUGACGGUACCUAACGAGAAAGCCCCGGCUAACUACGUG